rnacentral:rRNA from 1 species
UCCUUCGUCUUCUAUCUUUCUUCUGAUUUAUUGGGUUUAAAGGGAGCGCAGACGGGUCGUUAAGUCAGCUGUGAAAGUUUGGGGCUCAACCUUAAAAUUGCAGUUGAUACUGGCGUCCUUGAGUGCGGUUGAGGUGUGCGGAAUUCGUGGUGUAGCGGUGAAAUGCUUAGAUAUCACGAAGAACUCCGAUUGCGAAGGCAGCACACUAAGCCGUAACUGACGUUCAUGCUCGAAAGUGUGGGUAUCAAACAGG